rnacentral:rRNA from 1 species
GGGCCCGCACAAGCGGAGGAACAUGUGGUUUAAUUCGAUGAUACGCGAGGAACCUUACCUGGGCUUAAAUGCAGGACGGCGUUUCGGGAAACCGGAAUUCCCUUCGGGGCGGACUGCAAGGUGCUGCAUGGUUGUCGUCAGCUCGUGCCGUGAGGUGUCGGGUUAAGUCCCAUAACGAGCGCAACCCUUAUCGUUAGUUGCCAGCGGGUAAAGCCGGGGACUCUAACGAAACUGCCGGUGUAAACCGAGAGGAAGGUGGGGAUGACGUCAAAUCAGCACGGCCCUUAUGUCCAGGGCUACACACGUGUUACAAUGGCCGGUACAGAGGGCAGCUACCUGGUGACAGGGUGCAAAUCUCGAAAGCCGGUCCUAGUUCGGAUUGAAGUCUGCAAUUCGACUUCAUGAAGCUGGAUUCGCUAGUAAUCGCGCAUCAGCCACGGCGCGGUGAAUACGUUCCCGGGCCUU